UUUUUAUUUUUAUUAGCAAAGGGAUAUGACAACACACAAUAACAAAACAAUGCCAAAGCUAAAGAAAUAAAAAAACAAAGACAAUAAAAAAACCACAGUCCAAGCCCAAUAAGAAUAGGGGAGUGCAGAAAUAAUAAACCAGGGGUGCUGAGCACAAAUAAGGCCUUUCUGAUUUGAGCCCAAGUCCUUCCUUUCCAAAUUUUAAUCUGUCAGGGGUGCAAGGUUGAAAAUGGGGUGCAGUGCGAAAUAACCCGUCCAGGCCCAACCUUCUUUUUUCUUCUUUUUUGUUUGCAGCAAUGGAAUGGGAGUGUGAAUAGGAAAUAAAGGUGGCGGGCAGAGAGAAUGUGGCCCAGAUCAGGCCCAAAGCUUCUUUUUUAGAUAGGGAGUGGGGUGAGAAUAACGUUGCGUGUGGUGCCAGAAAGAAAAGGCGGCCCAGGCCCAAAGCCACUUAACCCUAACAGAAGCUGAUAGGGGUUUCUCCAAUUCCAUUCAUUAUGCCAAACACCAAGACCUAGGGUCAUCUUCUCUGAACGAAAGAAGCUAGAGAUCUGCCUCCACUGCUCACGGUCUCGUUUCAGCUUCCGGCCACCACAAACCGAGGUCCACGGCGCCGCCGACAGCGACCCUCCUCCCCUUUUCCGCAGCGGCCAAUGGUUGGGGCUUUCUUCCUUUGGGCACCGCCGGUCACCUCUUCGAACCCAGUCACCGCGCCACCAUCUCCUUCCGUCUCGGCGUCGCCUGUGACACCAUGCUUCACCAGAGCUAUCGCCGGCCUCGGCGUCACUGCUUUCUUUCAUCAAAACCUCCCCUGUACCAAGAAUCAGAUAUCCUUCUCGCGUAAGGGUUUGAAGUCGUUGUGACGCCUCCAUUUUCUUCACCGUCGCGACCCCAUGCUCAUCGCACAACAGCCUUGGCCGUAGAAGCCUAACGUCGUUGCGCUAUCAAUGGCGGGGAUGUCCUGCUUCUACACCUCCGUCGAUGCGCCUGCCAUUGAUCUGGGUUCGCCACAACUUUCUCCGAUCAGACUUACCUCUGCUGCGUCCCCGAGAGCCACCACAAGUCUUCUUGUAAUGAACCAGAUGAAGAUGAUGAGCGAUGACGGCAAUGAAUGGUAAGGAGAAUGCAGGCUGGGGGAAUGAUGGAGAGAAAAGGAAUAUCUGUGUUCUUGUGGUUGGGCUUGCUCGGUAGUGUUGUUUUUUUUGAGUAAGGGAGAUGGAAAGAUGAUGUAGUGGUUCAGUGGUGGUGUUCGAGUGUGUGUGGAUGAACUCAGUGGGUGAAGGAUUCUGAUGUGUGAAUUGAGAUGGCUCUAUGCGUUCAAGUAUUACGGUGUGUACGAGAGAGAACCUUUGGUUCUCGUAGUUGGGUGUGAUGGUGAAGAUGGAAGGGAUGAAAGGCGAGAAAGAUGACUCUGUUGGAGGAAAAUGAAUUCUGUUCUGUUUGAUUUUUGGUGUAUCUCUUUGGUGUUGAUGGAGAUGAGGGAUUAGAAUGGGUGUGAUAUGUGUGGGUUUCUGUUAUCAGCCGUAGGUGGUGAUGGAGGAAAAUUGAUUUAAAGGGGGGUCAUCAACGGAGAAAAAUGGUUCGGAUGCGAUAAUGAGGAUGGAUGCUAAAAUAUGGUGGAAUUCCAAUUGAAAAAGGAAAAUGCAGUUUUUGAGUAGUGGUAAAUGGUGUGUGCGUUUUGGUGCCCUCAAAACGGUUACCCUCUCUGAAUUUGUUUUUUUGUUCAAUCCAUACACCCUGACACUUUUUCAUUCA